GAAAUUCAUUACUGAGUAGUAUUUUCCAUUGCUGAUGUAAAGUACUUAAGGGGCUGUUUGGCUAAGCACCAGAACUAGAAGUCAAGCUCAUAACAAAAACAAACUUUAUUUUUUUCCAUGUUUACAGUCAGUUUUCCCAUUGGCCAUACAGAAUAGUUAUUAUUUUAUCUACACUAUAUUUAUAUUAGAUACAAUUCCAAUGAUAACGUUCUUCAUGUGGACUCCAAUGUCACCAGGGCCAUUAUCACAAAUGUAUUAUUAUGAUUACCCUCUGUGUUAGAUAAACCAAAUAUACUUACGCAAUAUAAAAUAUCUCCUCUUUCGGCUGUAUUAAUGCUGUGCUUAAAUAAGGGCCUGGGUGACCACCAGUAACCACUACUCCCAACCAGUGAAACCCAGUCUGUCUCAAACAGUGAUUGACAAUCCAGGUGAUAGUGGGCCUGCCCUGUGGCCCAGUGAGAGAGACAUGGAUGCUCAGGGAGGUAACAUACAGACAGACCGGGGAAGCAGGUCUCUUUCCUCUGGACAUAAUGUAUGCGUAGCAUAUGCUUUGCUAUUUCAUUAAUUUAUGAGCUUCUCAUACUCUUUGACAGCUCUCAAUUUAUUAUGGGAGGCAGGUUAACUUUUUUGUAGCACAUUGGACAUGCAGUACUGUACCUUCUUUUCACUAAGUCUUUUUCUAUGCUUGCCCCCUAGCAUAUUCUCAGCCAAGAACUAUUUGGUAGCUGUGUGUAAGUAACUAUGAUAGGUUUCUGCCAGGUAGCCACUGGAGUGGAAUCCCAUUUCCUGAAACACAGAUGUCAUUCUCUGUCUCUAUGUCUAUCAAACUGGUCCUAAAUUAUAGGUCUGUUCACUGUGUUAUGUCCUCCUUUUAGUCUUUGUUUGUGUACAGUUUGAUAGCAAUAUUGAUUUGACAAUGGGAAAUUAUCAGAGGCAUUGUGUCUGUCAGUUUCAACAAACAUCUCUGCACCCACAUUGCGUGGAGGGAUACAUCAUCCUGCAUGCUUUCAUUUUAGACAUAUGUAGCAAAGGAUUGCUGCUGAGUCUGCUAGUAUAUCAAUGUGAAUAACACCUUAUGGUCCUUCUGUCUCUGUGUCACUCGUGUAAACAAGCAAUAGUGUGCGUGUGUGUGUUUGUGUACUCACUGUGUGCAUAAGAUAAAUCCCAGACAAGGCUUUAAUAAACUAAGAGGGAAAGGGUUAUGUGAAUGAGGAGUCUGGUAGGUCUUUCCCUGGAUUCGGUAACACAGAGAUUUGUUCCAUCCCGUAUAGGGUUUAAGUGUUAUAAACAUGACAUAAUACCUCUUUACAAUUUAUAGUCCUUCAAAGCGCACUGGAGCAAAUGACUAACUACUCAGUCUCAUGACGUGUUCAGUGCAGAGUAAUUGGUAGAAAAAGAGACAAGUUGACACACCAUCCUGCAUGUCAUACAUGUUAUCUUGAGAUGAUUUGACUGCCUAGGAAUCAUGGGACUCAUAUUUAUUUGCCAUAGAAUAUAGAUUGUAAAGGUAUGUGUGAUGUCAUGCUUACAACUGUGCUGUAUUGAAGAGUUACCCAGAUCUAUCAGUCAGUUGAAUUGCAUUUUAACAAUACUCUCAUUUUCCAAAGCACAGCGAAUACAGUUUUAAGAUGAAAAAAAGAUUUUAAAAAAAACAUUUUAGAAUAUAGUAAAAAUGGAAAAUUGAGAAAAAAAAACCUCUAGCCAUAAUCGAAUGUCAAGCAAUAAUAUGUGGUGCAUUAUUUUAAUUUUGUGCAUAGGCUUUGGACAUCUGCAUGUAAAUACACUUCUUAUUUAUCCCUUUUGUUUUUGUUUUAAUUUGUGUUAUUUGGUUUUGGUUGUUAUAUUGUUUAGUCAGUAUAUUUGAUUGGUUCUGUUCCCAGGUGGAGGAUAAAACCUCAUGACCUGUAAACUAUAUAUCUUCAUUUCUCUCUCUCUCCCUCAUCCUCAACUUUUAAUCCACAAUAUUUAAUGUUAUUAUUGAUCACAUGUAUAAAGGUAACUUUGUAACUUCUGUCUGUAUAGGUAAGGAGAAAAUACUGCUACUAAGGCCUACAAAUAUUUAUAUGUUUAUCAAAUACACCAUGCUGUACAAUAUCUCUGAUUUUAAUAUCCUUCUCUCCUUUAGGAUUAGAUUGAUAGUGGUAGGGUGUGCCAACAUUUAUUUUGUGUUAUCUUGAUGUGUGGUGCUAGGUAAGUUCCUUUUGUGGACAAAGUCUUGAUUCCUAGACUUGGCCACCCUAUUAGUCCAUUCAUUUCAUUAAGUAUUGGUGCAUUAUUGAUAUUAGGACAAUAAAUAAUCAUGGUAAUGAUAAUGAUGAUGAUAGUGGUAAAUUUACUUCAAAACCCAGCCAGUACAGUACCUGUAUCAGUGUGCUAGUCCUGGGGUAAGGCUCUUAUUUCCUUCUCACUUAAAUUAUUAUCAAAACCAGUAUCUACUAAUGAACAGGUUAUUUAAGGGUUGCUCUUCUGAUUUCUGAAAAAAAAGAGUCUAAAACAGCAGUAUUGUUUUUCUUUGUUCUGAUUGUAAAAAACCACUUGCUGAGGCUUGUAGCUGGUCAUAUUUGCAAAUGCGGAGUAUUUACCUCUUCAAGCUGUGUAGUACUUUACUGUGCUAUUGUCCAUUUAAAACAGCCAUUUUAUGGCUUCCUUAUUUAAAAGUUAGUCUGCCCUGAAACAGUGUUUUCUUUUAGACCAGUUUAGACCUUUGGCACCACCAUAUGUGUUAUUAGAAAAAAUGGACAUGAAAAAGAUCACCGUUAGAGGUUAGAUAUUUUUUGUAACCUUUUUUUUCCUUUUCACUCAGUAGCAAAUAUCAGCCAGAAUGUGCUUGCAAUAAUACACAAUGUACUACACUGAGUGCCUCUCAGUGUUACAGGAUGCAUAAAUGGUAUUCAAUGUUAUUGUUUUUGUUUUCCGAACAUGUACUCAGCUGACAAUGUAUUUGCACGUAGGUUAACUCUGUCACCUAAUGGUUUACUACAUUUCUUAUAUUCUGUCUUUAUAAAGUACACAUUUUCUUGUUUAUUUAAGGCACCAUGUUAGAUAUUCAGAUGAUAUAAAUAUAUUUCUCCCUCUCGUCUGAGUAGCAUAACUGGGAAGGAUGUGGUAAUGUAAAAUGGUCAAAUCGAUGAAGUACAUUCUGGCUGACAAUAUUGCAUAAAAGAUGACCUGCUGAUCCAGGUUCUGGAUUUGACAAAAGAAUGGACAAUCCACGUUGAUGUUUUUCACUUUGUUUUGUGAUCAUAAAAUGAUUUCUUUAUUGAGAACAGAUAAUUGACUAAUGCAUUGUAUUUCAAAUAUUCAUAUGUGUAUGCAAAAGAUGCAUACAACACAUCUGAAUUUCUUUAAUGUUCUGUGUUUAAUGUAAGCUCAAGGGGUUGGGGUAACUUUAUGAUGGGUCGAGUGUGGGUGGGAUAUUUCUCCUUGUGAAAGCAGUAUGAACUGUAGAAAGCAGAAACCGGUAUGUGGUUGUCACAAAUUUUUAAGUCACAUGUUUGCUACUUACGAUGGGAACAGAUGAUCAUGUACCUUUUUAUCCAGCUCUUUUGAGCUCUCUUUAGCAGGUAGUCUAUUCACAAAAGUAGUUUUGCUCCUUCUUGUCUGAUUCUUAAAUAUGGAAAUAAGUAUUUUGAUUCAUUUUGUACAUACAGGUGUAAAGAAAAAUAAGAAAUGCAAUGUUGUCUUUGAAAUACUUUCCAUUCUAAUAUGAAUGUUGUUAUAUUGUACUUAGAAACUGUACCUUUAAUAUUACCUUUAUUAAAAGUGCAUUGGACACAUCGAUUUUAGAUGUGCUUUAUGUGCUGUUAUCCCAUAAUAAAAUUUCCCGCUUGUAAUGGGCU
ensembl:lncRNA